rnacentral:lncRNA from 1 species
UUAAUUCUCUGUAUUUGUGAUUGGCGGUAAUUUUGGUAAAACUAACUUAGCAACAACAUGUUGAAUAAGAUGUCCUAACAUGUGGAUCCGACAUCUUGUAUAUUACAGGUUUACAUCUUGGUAACGAUUUAUUUGAUUAACAAAUUACUAAAUAUUCAGGGAAUAUUAAGUAAUCCUAUGUGGCAUCCAAGAUUGAGGAAUCAAAGAUUCUAUUUGAAUUUAAAGUUAUUCUCUUUUUUUCUAAAUGUUGAGACAUUUUACGAAACCCUUG